rnacentral:tRNA from 1 species
GGAGAGGUGGCAGAGUGGUCGAAUGCGGCGGUCUUGAAAACCGUUGAACUGAAAGGUUCCGGGGGUUCGAAUCCCUCCCUCUCCGCAA